rnacentral:rRNA from 1 species
UGCUUACACAUGCAAGUCGAACGGAAACGAUAGAAGCUUGCUUCUAGGCGUCGAGUGGCGGACGGGUGCGUAACGCGUGGGAAUUUACCUUUUAGUGGGGGAUAGCCCGGUGAAAACCGGAUUAAUACCGCAUACUACUCUACGGAGGAAAAGGGGCCUCUCCUUGGAAGCUCUUGCUAUUAGAUGAGCCCGCGUAAGAUUAGCUAGUUGGUUGAGGUAAUGGCUCACCAAGGCAACGAUCUUUAGCUGGUUUGAGAGGAUGAUCAGCCACACUGGGACUGAGACACGGCCCAGACUCCUACGGGAGGCAGCAGUGGGGAAUAUUGGACAAUGGGCGCAAGCCUGAUCCAGCAAUACCGCGUGUGUGAAGAAGGCCUGAGGGUUGUAAAGCACUUUCAAUAGGGACUAAAUGUUCGUAGUUAAUAACUGCGGAUCUUGAAUUAACCUAUAGAAGAAGGACCGGCUAACUCCGUGCCAGCAGCCGCGGUAAUACGGAGGGUCCGAGCGUUAAUCGGAAUUACUGGGCGUAAAGCGCGCGUAGGCGGUUUAUUAAGUCGGAUGUGAAAGCCCUGGGCUCAACCUGGGAACUGCAUUCGAUACUGGUAAACUAGAGUAUAGUAGAGGUAAGUGGAAUUCCAUGUGUAGCGGUGAAAUGCGUAGAUAUGUGGAGGAACAUCAGUGGCGAAGGCGACUUACUGGACUAAUACUGACGCUGAGGUGCGAAAGCGUGGGGAGCAAACGGGAUUAGAUACCCCGGUAGUCCACGCCGUAAACGAUGUCAACUAGCCGUUGGGAGCAUUUGAGCUUUUAGUGGCGCAGCUAACGCAUUAAGUUGACCGCCUGGGGAGUACGCACGCAAG